GUCAUGCUCUGGAGGGCUUAAUCGAAAUGGUGAGGUCACAGUCACUGGCUGGGAGCACCGUCUGAGGACGGGUCACCGGGGUCACCAUGCUAGGGUUGGGGUUCUGGCCAAAUCUUGGCAACGCAUGUUGAUUUUGAUAUUAAUGACCUUGAACAUGUCACCACGUAUGGAGAGAACGGCGGCAUUGUGUGAGGGCGAAGGUCAAGGUAGGCAGGUUCCAGUCGGGUACGUGACAGCGCGGAGGGCAGGGCCGUCCAGGGGGACGGAAUGGGGCCCAGGACCCCGACCAGGACGUAUUUAAGGGGCGGGCGGGUUCCGAGAUGCCAAGUCGUGCCGCGAGUCUCCUGUCUCCCGCUGCCUCUCCCGCUGUCUGUCUGUCUGUCUGUCUACUGUCUCUCCGCCAGCAUGCCGGGACGGGCGCUACUGCAGACCUCUCUGGUGCUCUGGCUGGUUCAGCUCACGCUGCAAGGAGGUAUCAGCAGACCACAGAGUGGAGGACUUGGCCGCUUGAUACCAGGAAGAGGUGCUGGUGUGCUGGGAAUCCCAGGAGUGCGUGGGAAUGGGGGAGGAAAGUUGGGCAAGGCUGGGGCUGCAGCUUUCAAGCCCACAGGUGCAGGAGGUCGGGGACUUGGAGGCCUUAAGCAAGGAUAUGGUGCACAACCAAGCUAUGGAGCUGCUUAUGGAGCUGGCCUGGGCCCUGGUCUGGGACUGGGUUUGGGACUAGGUAACGGCCUUGGUGGAGGACUGGGAGCUGGUCUGGGUCCUCAAGUUGGAAAGCAGCUUGGCAGAGGGUACGGUGGUAACGGUUAUGGAUCUCUGCCUGGGUACGGGGUCGGUGCAGGAGGCUACCCUGGAGCCGGUCGUGGCGCUGCAGCGGGUGGAUAUCCCACAGGACAGGGGGCUAAAGGACCCAAGCCGGGAGCGGGAGCUUUUAAUGGCCAUGGGGCUGGAGGCAAUGGACACGGGCAAGGACCUGCACUGCCCGCUACACAGGGUCCCAAGCCACCCAAACCGGGGUUCGGUCCAGCAGCGGGUGCUCACGGCCGAAAGGGACCUAAAGGGAACGGAUAUGGUCCGGCGCCAGGCCUUCCCGGCGGAGCUGUCAGCAACGGGUUUGGUCCCGGAGCUGAACUUGGCAAUGGACAUGGGGCAAGGCACAAUGGACAUGGUCCAGAAGAUGUUGUAUCCAAUGGACCUGUCAGAAAUGGACUUGGCCCAGGAGACGUAGGUCUUGCCAAUGGGAAAGGAGCUAAAGGCAACGGAGCAGGGCUGCCUUUCAGACAGGGUGCCAAGCCGGCGAAAACGGGUUACGGCCCGGGCUUGGGCAGCUACCUCGGACUCGGAAACGGUUACGGAGCAGGCCUGGGGCAGGGCGGAUACCCUCUGCUGAGAAGCGGAGGCAAGCAAGCAGGCUACACUGAUGGACAGCUAGGCUUCCUAGGGACUGGCCUCGGAUACGGUGAUGGAUACGGAGCCGGGGCCCUCGGCGUGGGAGCCAAAGCUGUGCCUGCAGGAUACGGGAACGGCUAUCUGCUCGGCGGAGCCGGUUACGCUCCAGGAGCCGGCGGAUACCCGUCACUGUUAGCCGACGGGGCCGGGCUGGGAGGCAAAGCAGGGAAGGGUGCAGGAGGCGCUGCCUUGGGUGCUGCCGGCUCUCUGCCCUACGGGGGUCAGCCCGUGGUCGCCGCCGGCCUGGGUCCUGAAGCCAAGUCUGGGUACGGAACCGGCUCGCUGCCAUAUGCCGGGCACGCCGCAGGACUUCUGCCAGACGGCGGACUGGGCGCCCUCGGUGCGGGUCUGGACCCAUCUGCUGGGAAAUAUGGAGCCGGUCAGCUUCCUUACCAAGGCGCUCCAGUCAUCCCUGCAGGGCUGGACGAUGGCGGAUACCCAUACGGUGCUCAGCAUCUCAGCCUGGAGGCCGAGGCCAGUAAAGCUGCCAGCAAAUAUGGAAGUGGCAGGGGGUACGCAGGAUCGCAGCCAGCAGCUGUAAAGGAAGUGAGCAAGUACGGCCUGAACGGCGCCUAUGGCAACGGCUACAAAGGUUGAUCCAGCAAGCUGUGGCUCCGUUUCCCUCAUGUGUCAGUCUCUUAUUGUAUGUUACAUUAUGUUGGUCGUAUGUUCUGUUUUCUUCACCAUUUUUGCCUUCUGUGUCGGUCAUUUUUGUCAACUCCCCCCAUGAUUUGUUGUCCAGAAAAAGUGCUGGUUUUAUUGGUUCGUAUCCUUGCUACAUGUGAAAUGAUGUUUUGCUUUGUUUCCAAACAUGAAACAUUAAACAAUUUUCACCGUUUUCAGUUUUUCAGUGUUCGCUUUUCCAUUUUGACUUAUGGUUGAUUUUAUUGUUUUGCAUUGUAAGUAUCGUCAUAAUGCAAGAUCAUUUCGACAACAAGUAGAGGAGACCUUCUUCCGGGAGCCAUAAAGCCACAGUCUUCCUGUCCCACACAGUCGAAAUGAAAACUAAAACAGUGGGGCAGGAUGAGGCAGAAUUAAACGGGUUAUCUGAAUCAACAUCUCACUUUUUACUGCCAUCACAUUUACGGCCUUGUCCAGAGCGCC
rnacentral:lncRNA from 1 species